UACGGGGGGGGCAAGCGUUGUUCGGAAUUACUGGGCGUAAAGCGCACGUAGGCGGUUCGUUAUGUCGGAUGUGAAAGCCCUUGGCUUAACCGAGGAAGUGCAUCCGAAACUGGCGAGCUAGAGUACUAAAGAGGAUCGCGGAAUUCCCGGUGUAGAGGUGAAAUUCGUAGAUAUCGGGAGGAACACCGGGUGGCGAAGGCGGCGACCUGGGUCGAGACUGACGCUGAGGCGCGAAAGCGUGGGGGAGCAAACAGG
rnacentral:rRNA from 1 species